rnacentral:rRNA from 1 species
CCUACGGGAGGCUGCAGUGGGGAAUAUUGGGCAAUGGGCGCAAGCCUGACCCAGCAACGCCGCGUGAAGGAAGAAGGCUUUCGGGUUGUAAACUUCUUUUCUCAGGGACGAAGCAGGUGACGGUACCUGAGUAAUAAGCCACGGCUAACUACGUGCCAGCAGCCGCGGUAAUACGUAGGUGGCAAGCGUUAUCCGGAUGUACUGGGUGUAAAGGGCGGGUAGGCGGGACUGCAAGUCAGAUGUGAAAACCACGGGCUCAACCUGGGACCUGCAUUUGAAACUGUAGUGCUAGAGUAUUGGAGAGGCAGACGGAAUUCCUGGUGUAGCGGUGAAAUGCGUAGAUAUUAGGAGGAACACCAGUGGCGAAGGCGGUCUGCUGGACAGAGACUGACGCUGAGGCGCGAAAGCGUGGGGAGCAAACAGGAUUAGAUACCCUGGUAUUC